CGCUUCUCCCUCUUCUCGCGUCCACUCUCACGCUCUCAAUCUUCGAGUAGGCGCUUCAACUCCUCACUCUCACUUACAACUCUCCACGGUGGGGACGAGAUUAUGAAAGGAGAGGUCACAAAAGUGGAUGUACCCAGUUAAGCAAUACAUGAUGAUCUUAAAAGGGUAUACAAAGAAUCUACACCGUCCUGAAGCCUCCAUUAUUGAAAGGUAUAUUGCAGAAGAAGCUAUUGAGUUUUGUUCAAAGUACAUUGAAAAGGAAAAACCUAUUGUGCUUCCUGAGUCUCAGCAUGACGAGAGAGUGGGAGGUUGCUACUGUGUUUGUGGUGGAGCAUCUGUUGCUAGCUAAGGCUGCUGAAACUGCUCUAGCUGCUGGACCUACCUUGGCAUGCAAUUUUUUUUAAUGAAUGAUCUAUUGAUGGGAAGUCGAAUGAGUUUGGUUGGUUUGGCAACACUCUGUAGAACUUGUAGAGACCUGUUAUUAAAGCUAGAAAACCCAAUGAUUUGUUUGAUUUUUUUGGGUUCUGUGAGUGCCUAGGAGGUUCUGUAACGACCCGCCUCGUCGCUACGGUAUCCACACUCCAAUAUUCGAUAAUUUCAAUUUUUUUAUAAAAAGAACUCCCUUAAUUUUUGCUUAUGAAAA